UGUCCUGCUCAUGUAAUCUGCUUGAACUUUAUCCUUCCACUUCUUCAGUUUUAAUACAUUGGAGGAUCGUACGUCAACUCCUCUUUCCUGGGCUGGAUAAGUCCAGUGGCUCUGUUGCCUGCUCCCCAGCAAUUUUACUCCUCACAAUUAAAACGUCGAGCAAGAUUGAAAUCGACAAGAACGAGAGUUGAAGACGAGCAGGUGUUCAACCUGCCUGCCUGCUGCGUUUGACUGGUUUCCCUCUUGCAGCUGCCAGAGGAAGGAGCAGGUCUGAUCACCUUGGCACAGCAUCUGGCUAUGGGACCCUUUUCUUUUGUGAGGUUUGCUGAGAACACAUGGAGAACUUGCCAACAAUCUUUCCAUGUACCUGUCUCCUUGCAUCUCUGCCAUGAAUGGUCCCAAGCCCAGCUGUGAAAGGAGGAGAGUUGGACAUGAACCUCACACAGAUUCACAAGCCCUUCAGUUAAAUUAUCACAGGACAUAACCCAGCCCAGUAACAACCCAGAGCUGCAGAAAUGCCAACAGAAGCUCCAAAGACCUCAACCAUGAGAGAGGAAGGAUCCUCAAAGCUGGGCUACCCCUGGAGACAACGUGAAAGACUGGCCCAGGGCAUUCAUGGUACAUACGAAGAAAGAACAGAAUCAAUGAAAGAUCACACACAACAGGACGGACAAGUGAUUACUCAGCAAAAGACAACAAACUCUGCAAAAACUAAGAGAAAAAAUAUAAUAAAUAAGCAAUUAAUAUUGGAAACACAAAUUGUAGCAUCCUUAAAAGUGAGUACAUCGGUUGUGGGAACAGUUCAGUGUUGAGGUGAGUGAAGUUAGAGAAACAUAGAAAGCCUACAGCACAAUACAGGCCCUUCGGCCCACAAAGUUGUGCUGAACAUAUCCCUACCUUAGAAACUACUAGGCUUACCCAUAGCCCUCUAUUUUUCUAAGCUCCAUGUACCUAUCCAAAAGUCUCUUAAAAGACCCUAUCGUAUCUGCCUCCACCACUGUUGCCGGCAGCCCAUUCCACACACUCACCACUCUCUGAGUAAAAAACUUACCCCUGACAUCUCCUCUGUACCUACUCCCCAGCACCUUAAAUCUGUGUCCUCCUGUGUUAGCCAUUUCAGCCCUGGGAAAAAGCCUCUGACUAUCCACACGAUCUUCCUGAUGGUUGAGGGGGUAAUAACUGUUCCUGAACCUGGUGGUGCGAGUCCUGAGGCUCCUGUACCUUCCUCCGGAUGGCAGCAGCAAGAAGAGAGCAGGUCCUGGAUGGUGGGUGUUCUUGAUGCUGGAUCCUGCUUUCCUGUGACAAUGCCUCAUGCAGACGUGCUCAACGGUGGGGAGGGCUUUAUCCGUGAUGGACUAAGCCAUAUCCAUUACUUCUGGGCUUUUCCGUUCAAGGGCAUUGGUGUUUCCAUACAAGGCCAUGAUGCAACCCAGUCAGUAUACUCUCCACCUAGCACAUACAGGGCAUGCUGACCCCAAGUAGACUCCAAAUGCUGAUAAACCCUAUCCCUAAGGAUGCUCUGCAUUCGUUUCCCUACCAUGUGAGACUCAUGGAUCUGUAAAUUCCCAGGGUUACCCUUAUUUCCAUUCCUGAACAAAGGAACUUGCCAGUCCUCCAACAUCACACCUGUGGCUAGUAAAAAUACAAAGAGCUUGGUCAGGGCCCAGAAAUCUCUUCUUCACCUCUCUAUUGUACAUCCCAUCAGGCCCAAAGGACUUACCCACCUCAACGUCUAUGGUUAAUGUUAAGUCAGCAUCAGAAUGUGUACUGCCCCCAGCACAUCCUCAGGCAUGUUGGUUGUUAACGCAAACAACAUAUGUCACUGUAGCUUUGAAGUAUGUGUGACAAAUCUGAACCUAAAGUUGUCAAGAGUCUUGCUCCUAAUCUCAAAAUGCCCAGCCCAGCAUAUUACACUCUCCUCUGUUAGGCUCACUGUGGAAGUUGCAGUGAGGCUAGGUGAUAAUGACCAUGGCAGUCAAAUCCAGACUAAGGAGACCUUUUGAAAUUAGACUGCCAGAGCUAACCUUGCUUACUCAGACAGAUAGGUGAGAAUGACCGUGGCAGUGCAUAGCCAACAUAGAAGGUAGCUUCCCUUGACACAGAGGGUGCCGGAGACAGAUGCAUUAGGAAUAAUGGAAGAAUGUGAAAUACAUCUAACAACUAAGGGACACUUGCUUUACUAACUUAAGUGUCAUCGGUUCCAAUGACUUCUAGCAUCUCUAUUUUGAAUGUCGAUUGGUGUCACAAGUAAGGAAUUGAAACAUAUACAAUUUACACUAAUCGGUAUCUGUAACUAAUAAGCCAACUCAGUAUAAAAACAGCAGCUUUCUGGAUGACGGGCCAUGCCAUUCUCCAGUGCACUCAGAAGAGUGUGUGUGUUCUGGACCCAGUUAUUUUAGCUAUUGUAUUUUAUUAUCAGUGAUGACAUCACUAUCUUCUACACCAGGGUUACCAAACUUUGUUAGGCCAUGGGCCCCUACCAUUAACUGAGGGGCCUGUAGAUCACAGGUAGGGAACCCCUGCUCUACACCCUUUACCUUGUCAACACCAACACAACGUUUUCAAUUAGGAACUCACUCACAUCGUCUGCCUCCCUUUAUCCUUGAGUGGUUCUAACCUAUCUUCUUGAUGUAUGUACAGGAUGCCUUGGGAUUCUCUUUAGUCCUACCUGGAAAGGACUUUUCUAAUGUAUGGAUCUAUUUUUUUAGAGCAAUGACCCCCUAGUGCUGUAACGCUACAUAUAUCUGUUGUCUGCACAUGCACACCAUUCUCUCUCUCGGGCUGCAAUGUGAAUACACCAGUUAAAGCCAUCUCCCACGUGUGUUUUUAUUUCACUGAUAUGUAGUUCUGCACAGACACAACAAAUUGGCGACGAGUAUGAACCUGAAUGCCAGAAAAUAUCACAACAAUUACAAUGGGACAAAACAAUGAGAGUUAGGGACACUUACAAAGGUGUGAUUACAGUGCGUAACACACAGUGAAAGACACAAUGAAUUUAAAGUGAAAAUAACGUGGCAAUGGGUUCAGUCAGGAAAGUUGACAAAUUCAAUAGCGCUAAUGAAGGCUGGGUGUCCUAUAUCAAGAGGGUAGAACUCUUUUGGAACGUGAACAACAUUGAGGAGCAAAAGAAAACCCCUAAACUUCUUAGCUUAAUGGGUGCAAGUCUCAGUAACCCCUGAAAAGCCAGCAAUCAAGAUAUUCAACAAAAUUGUUACAAUUUUACAAAAUCACUUGAGCCCUAAACCACUGGCAAUAGCUCAGAGAUUUAGAUUUUACCAAAAGGCAAAAGCAUUUCUGAAUACAUUGUAGAACUGCACAAACUUUCCCAGUACUGUGACUUUACAGAUGGACUUUCUGAUACAUUAAGGGACGGGCAUGACCACUACAAUAUCGUCAGAGAC